rnacentral:rRNA from 1 species
GCUUCUCUUGAGAGCGGCGGACGGGUGAGUAAUGCCUAGGAAUCUGCCUGGUAGUGGGGGAUAACGUUCGGAAACGGACGCUAAUACCGCAUACGUCCUACGGGAGAAAGCAGGGGACCUUCGGGCCUUGCGCUAUCAGAUGAGCCUAGGUCGGAUUAGCUAGUUGGUGGGGUAAUGGCUCACCAAGGCGACGAUCCGUAACUGGUCUGAGAGGAUGAUCAGUCACACUGGAACUGAGACACGGUCCAGACUCCUACGGGAGGCAGCAGUGGGGAAUAUUGGACAAUGGGCGAAAGCCUGAUCCAGCCAUGCCGCGUGUGUGAAGAAGGUCUUCGGAUUGUAAAGCACUUUAAGUUGGGAGGAAGGGUUGUAGAUUAAUACUCUGCAAUUUUGACGUUACCGACAGAAUAAGCACCGGCUAACUCUGUGCCAGCAGCCGCGGUAAUACAGAGGGUGCAAGCGUUUAAUCGGAAUUACUGGGCGUAAAGCGCGCGUAGGUGGUUUGUUAAGUUGGAUGUGAAAUCCCCGGGCUCAACCUGGGAACUGCAUUCAAAACUGACUGACUAGAGUAUGGUAGAGGGUGGUGGAAUUUC